ensembl:lncRNA
CAGGAUUUAUGAAGACCGCUUGUACAAGAAUCACCCAGCUGCCAUCAGCGAGGACCAUGAGCCAAACUGGCCAAAAUAUGAUAUGACGAUCAUCAGAACUUGUGACAACUACAAAGAUGCCUGUAGGAUUAUGGAGCAGUAUCAGACCGGCUGCAACACCUCUGAUCUACAGUCUGAGGCAGAGCAGGAGUGCGGGCCACCAGAUAAGAGACAAAGGAGGCCAGUCCAUCGUUUCGGAAACCCUGACCAGAGCGAAGAAGAUGUGGAAGAUAUAGUGUCUCAGUUGGAAGCACUACCAGUGCUUCCACGCCCAAGCCAAUUGCCCCGGCAGACUCCACUAUCUCGCCGAGUGCCAGGCAGUAGAUUCAGUCCUCCUCAACCUGGAGAAAAUUGUCCAGCACCUCACCAUGGGGCAGGACUGCAUCACCCUGCACCCGCUUUGAACAUGCAGAGAGUUACUCAAGUUGCUGUGAGGAAAAACGUGGUGACACGGUCAGCCACCGACGCGGAGGUCACCAAACACGCCAUCAGGUGGUUCAACCUGGCGUCGGAUCGAGCGGCGAGGAGACGUGUCCCUCCUCCAUCCACUCAUUUGACCCAAUGAAUAACAAUUAAACAAUCUUUUGAUUGAACUUCUUGUCGUUCACCAG